rnacentral:lncRNA from 1 species
AGUUUUUCGAUUUUUUUUUUAUUUUGUGGAAUUUCAGGGUGUUCCGUGGUUUGGAUCCCGCACCUGAUCUGAUAUCGUCAUUGAUAGUAUUAAAUGAUGAUCCGAUCAUUCAACUGAUUUUUUUUUAUAGUUUGGUCUUGUGUUGUGAUAGGUUUUUUUUUUUUUUUUAGAAAUGAGCGCACACAGACAUUUUUAACCCCGCCAAAUUCUGUAUGUACCUGUUUUAAGUCAAAAGCCCGUAGUUCAGUGUUUGUCGUUUUUUCGUGUAUGUCAUAUAUGUUUUUCGUAAAUUGUUUUAUUAUGAAUUAGGCCGUCAGUUUGUGUAUUAAUUCUUAUUUUUUCAUGUCGGAACCUGUUAUUGCCGACUAUAAUUGCUUAAAUCCAUUUAUUUUUUUAACUUUGAAAAUCCUAUCACAUCUCCUUAUUUUUAUAUUGAAGAUAUAAAUAAUUAUGGUUUGAUAAAAUGUUGUUCUCACUAAAAAAAAACUUUUUCGUUAAUUUGUCGGAUUCUAUAGUUGGGAAUAUUGAAAAGUUCCCGAUAUAUAAAAAAAUCAUGUUGUUUUCUCUGUCUUUCAGAUAACAAGGCCUCUCCAAUCCUUGAUAAAAUUUAAUUUUACUGGAGCUUUUUUCUUCCAGUAGUUAUAGCUUGUAGUAAACAGAAAUCUCAUUGGAAAUUAUACCACAUCUUCUUAUUUUAAUAUCGU